AUACGUAGGUGACAAGCGUUAUCCGGAUUUACUGGGCGUAAAGGGCGUGUAGGCGGUCUUGCAAGUCAGAAGUGAAAUUCCUGAGCUCAACUCGGGCGCUGCUUCUGAAACUGCAGGACUUGAGUGCUGGAGGGGAUAGCGGAAUUCCUAGUGGAGCGGUAAAAUGCGCAGAUAUUAGGAAGAACACCGGUGGCGAAGGCGGCUAUCUGGACAGAAACUGACGCUGAUGCGCGAAAGCGUGGGGAGCAAACAGGAUUAGAGACCCGGGUAGUCCACGCCGUAAACGAUGAAUACUAGGUGUAGGGGGUAUCGACUCCCUCUGUGCCGCAGUUAACACAAUAAGUAUUCCGCCUGGGGAGUACGGCCGCAAGGUUGAAACUCAAAUGAAUUGACGGGG
rnacentral:rRNA from 1 species